AGGGCAACCAACUAUCUUGGUUUGCCUGGGACUGAGGGGGUUCCCAGGAUGGACAGUCCUAGGUAAACUGG
rnacentral:miRNA from 1 species